rnacentral:rRNA from 1 species
CCUACGGGAGGCAGCAGUGGGGAAUCUUGCGCAAUGGGCGAAAGCCUGACGCAGCCACGCCGCGUGCGGGAUGAAGGCCCUAGGGUUGUAAACCGCUUUUAACAGGAACGAAAAUGACGGUACCUGUAGAAUAAGGUGCGGUCAACUACGUGCCAGCAGCCGCGGUGACACGUAGGCACCAAGCGUUGUCCGGAUUUAUUGGGCGUAAAGAGCUCGUAGGCGGUUCAGUAAGUCGGGUGUGAAAACUCUGGGCUUAACCCAGAGACGCCACUCGAUACUAUUGUGACUAGAGUUCGGUAGGGGAGCGGGGAAUUCCUAGUGUAGCGGUGAAAUGCGCAGAUAUUAGGAGGAACACCGGUGGCGAAGGCGCCGCUCUGGGCCGAUACUGACGCUGAGGAGCGAAAGCGUGGGUAGCAAACAGGAUUAGAUACCCUGGUAGUCCACGCCGUAAACGGUGGGCACUAGGUGUGGGUUCCAACCAACGGAAUCCGCGCCGUCGCUAACGCAUUAAGUGCCCCGCCUGGGGAGUACGGCCGCAAGGUUAAAACUCAAAUGAAUUGACGG